rnacentral:rRNA from 1 species
CGUACUAUACAUGCAGUCGAGCGGACAGAUGGGAGCUUGCUCCCUGAUGUUAGCGGCGGACGGGUGAGUAACACGUGGGUAACCUGCCUGUAAGACUGGGAUAACUCCGGGAAACCGGGGCUAAUACCGGAUGGUUGUUUGAACCGCAUGGUUCAAACAUAAAAGGUGGCUUCGGCUACCACUUACAGAUGGACCCGCGGCGCAUUAGCUAGUUGGUGAGGUAACGGCUCACCAAGGCAACGAUGCGUAGCCGACCUGAGAGGGUGAUCGGCCACACUGGGACUGAGACACGGCCCAGACUCCUACGGGAGGCAGCAGUAGGGAAUCUUCCGCAAUGGACGAAAGUCUGACGGAGCAACGCCGCGUGAGUGAUGAAGGUUUUCGGAUCGUAAAGCUCUGUUGUUAGGGAAGAACAAGUACCGUUCGAAUAGGGCGGUACCUUGACGGUACCUAACCAGAAAGCCACGGCUAACUACGUGCCAGCAGCCGCGGUAAUACGUAGGUGGCAAGCGUUGUCCGGAAUUAUUGGGCGUAAAGGGCUCGCAGGCGGUUUCUUAAGUCUGAUGUGAAAGCCCCCGGCUCAACCGGGGAGGGUCAUUGGAAACUGGGGAACUUGAGUGCAGAAGAGGAGAGUGAAAUUCCACGUGUAGCGGUGAAAUGCGUAGAGAUGUGGAGGAACACCAGUGGCGAAGGCGACUCUC